rnacentral:rRNA from 1 species
GAUGAACGCUGGCGGCGUGCCUAAUACAUGCAAGUCGAGCGAACGGACGAGAAGCUUGCUUCUCUGAUGUUAGCGGCGGACGGGUGAGUAACACGUGGAUAACCUACCUAUAAGACUGGGAUAACUUCGGGAAACCGGAGCUAAUACCGGAUAAUAUUUUGAACCGCAUUGUUCAAAAGUGAAAGACGGUCUUGCUGUCACUUAUAGAUGUAUCCGCGCUGCAUUAGCUAGUUGGUAAGGUAACGGCUUACCAAGGCAACGAUGCAUAGCCGACCUAAGAGGGUGGUCGGCCACACGGGAAGUGAGACACGGUCCAGACUCCUACGGGAGGACGCAGUAGGGAAUCUUACGCAAUGGGGGAGAGCAUGACAGAGCAACGCGGCGUGAGUGAUGAAGGUGUUCGGAUCGGAAAGCUCUGUUAUUAGUGGAGAACAUAUGUGUAAGUAACCGUGCAGAUAUUGACGGUACCGGGUCAGAAAGCCCCGGCUAACUACGUG